rnacentral:rRNA from 1 species
UGAAUACGUUCCCGGGCCUUGUACACACCGCCCGUCACACCAUGAGAGUUGGGGGAUACCCAAAGCCCCGUGAGCCAACUGUAAAGAGGCAGCGGUCUAAGGUAGAAUCAAUGAUUGGGGUGAAGUCGUAACAAGGUAAC